rnacentral:tRNA from 1 species
GGAGAGAUGGCCGAGUUGGUUUAAGGCGCACGACUCGAAAUCGUGUGUAGGCUGACCCCUACCGUGGGUUCGAAUCCCACUCUCUCCGCCA